CGAACGCUGGCGGCGUGCUUAACACAUGCAAGUCGAACGCGAAAGGGGACUUCGGUCCUGAGUAAAGUGGCGCACGGGUGAGUAACGCGUAGAUAACCUGUCUUCAUGUCUGGAAUAAUACGCCGAAAGGGGUACUAAUACCGGAUAUUCUUGCCUUUCAUAAGUUAUGCAAGCAAAGGUGGCCUCUGCAUAUGCUACUGCAUGAAGAGGGGUCUGCGUACCAUUAGCUAGUAGGUGGGGUAAUGGCCUACCUAGGCGACGAUGGUUAGCGGGUCUGAGAGGAUGAUCCGCCACACUGGCACUGGAACACGGGCCAGACUCCUACGGGAGGCAGCAGUGAGGAAUAUUGCGCAAUGGGGGAAACCCUGACGCAGCGACGCCGCGUGAGUGAGGAAGGCCUUCGGGUCGUAAAGCUCUGUCAAGAGGAAAGAAGUGUACAAUGGCUAAUACCUGUUGUAUUUGACGGUACCUCUAAAGGAAGCACCGGCUAACUCCGUGCCAGCCGCCGC
rnacentral:rRNA from 1 species